rnacentral:rRNA from 1 species
AUGCACGAGCUGAGCCCAAUGCCUGCACCCACCUCUGCACCACACGUACAGUUUCGCGUGGGGGGUCACGAACCCCCUCGCCAUAACUCCCGAAUUUGCUUUCCUCUCGUGCCCAACACUGCUCCUCCCAUCCCCUCUGCUCGACCUCGGAUUCGUCGCCGCCGCCGUCUUCUCAUCCUCGCCGCCGCCGCCGCCGCCGCCGCCUCCUCGUCCUCGCCGCCGCCUCCUCCUCAUCCUCGCCGCCGCCUCCUCAUCCUUGUCGCCGCUGCCGUCCCUUUUCGCCGGCUGUCGUCGACGGGAGAUACACAGGGGAAGGAGCCGAGCUCGAUCCGCCGCAGGAUCGAUGAAUCCUUGCCAGGUUCACCGGACCUGGUGUGGUUGAGCCGUUGA